rnacentral:lncRNA from 1 species
GAAUCAGUCACGGGGAGUGAAGCGGCAUCCGCUGUCGUGACUUGUCAGAGAGUGGUGGACUCGCACAGAAUCCACCGCAGGGAGUGGAGCAGAGUCAUGGCCGUUAAUACGGCCUGUCAGGGAGUAAUGGAGCUACGCAGGGUCCGCCGUAGGGAGUGGAGCAGUGGUGUCCGCUACUGUGGCUUGUCAGGGGAUCCAGACUUGUUGGCCGAAGUUCGGUUGGAGUCGGUAGCGAGGUUCGGUACCCAUAGGAGUUUGGACGAGGUCUUCCCA